UUCCGCCCGCGCCGCUAGCAGCGCUGCACCGCGUCUCCGGAGAGGCUCGGCGCGGGACCCCAGCUGCGCCCAGCGGCAGUUACCGGCAGAGGCGGGGAGGGAGCUGCCGACAGACGCGAUGCAGUGAGCGGGCGGGCCGGCCGGGUUGGCCAUGGCUUCCCCGUUCCCGGCCUCGGCCGGCAACAGCGGCGGCGAGCCGAGCUCUGGGGAGGAGUCGGGCGGGCCGGAGGAGGAGGCCCGGGCGCUGGCGGAGCAGUUCGAGCGGGCGGCCGAGCGACUGCCGGGGCUGAUGCAGGCGGCCAGCAGGGAGCAGCUCCUCUACCUGUACGCCAGGUACAAGCAGGUCAAAUUUGGAAACUGUAACACUCCCAAGCCCAGUUUCUUUGAUUUUGAAGGAAAGCAGAAAUGGGAAGCAUGGAAAGCGCUGGGAGAUUCAAGUUCCCACCAGGCUAUGCAAGAAUACAUUGCCACAGUGAAGAAACUGGAUCCCAGUUGGAAUCCUCAGACACCAGAGAAGAGAGGAAAGGAAGGAAAAACUGGGUUUGGAGGCCCAGUUGUCAGCUCGCUGUAUCAGGAAGAAACCAUCAGGGAGGAAGACAAGAACAUAUUUGAUUACUGCAGAGAAAACAACAUUGACCAUGUAACCAAAGUCAUACAAUCAAAAAAAGUGGACGUGAAUAUGAAAGAUGAAGAGGGCAAACUAAAACUCUGUAUGUGGACACCCCCAAACUUUGGUGAGGUUCAGAUCCAGAUCAGGACUUCAUGGCACAGGCUCAUCUUCGGUUGGGGCAGGGCUUUGCUCCACUGGGCAUGUGACCGAGGACACAAGGAGCUGGUCUCGGUACUGCUACAGCAUGCAGCCGAUGUUAACAGCCAGGAUGACGAAGGCCAGACCGCACUGCAUUAUGCCUCCGCCUGUGAGUUUUUUGACAUUGUGGAGCUGCUGCUGAAGUCUGGAGCUGAUCCCACCCUCUUGGACCAAGAAGGCUGCCUGCCUGAAGAGGUGACGGACUGUAAAGCAAUCACUUCCCUGCUGCAGCAGCACACGGCUGGCAAAACCUAACCAGAAGGACUGCACCAGCACGGGGCUUCAAGAGUGGACAGAAACGGCAAUAACCCCCACCCCAUCCCCAUUCUAACCCCCACAACCCUCUUUAAUAUGCAUUGUUUUUUGAGAGUCGGGCAUGACGUUUGGGAGGGCUGGGUGCCUGGCAAAUCUACCAGCAUAAGUCUUUGGAAGGAGUAUACACUGCAUAAUAGAAUCCAUUUUUGCAUGCUCUGGAAUUUAUUACUGCUCUGGGUGGGUGGGGGGGACUCAGACAACAUCUGACUAUAUUUAGACGCGGCUGCUCUUUUGAAAAAUAUACAUGACUAGUGAGAGGUGAUCAAAUCAGCACUGAAGAUUCAGAUGUGACCAAAUGAGAUCUAGGGAAAUCAGAUGUGGUACCAUUGAGGGAAGCUGAGCUGUAUUUCCCUUGGCCCAGACAAAUACUAUAAAUAUAAGAGAGAGCACAAGGUCAUACGUUGUUCCUUUCUGGUCUUUGGACAGGGGUAGUGGCCUGAUUCCUGUGAAGCGAUUGGAACUGGGGCCUUUCAGAUGUACCAGCACACUCCACUCAGAGGGGUAUUCCAGAAAGUGUUCUUCAAAAAGAAAAUGACAAAAACAAAGACUGAGCCAGUGCAAUCUCCUGCUCAGUUCCAUGGGAGAUGAUGGGGUUUUUAGUGUGUGUCACUCUGUAUUCUAGAUAUGAAGUACAUUAGUGCACCAUAAAUGAUGUAAGAGGAGGAGAGACGUCAGUACUGUGCCCGUAUCUUGAGUGAAGUCACAAAAUAUGAUUUUAUCAUUCAUGCAACUGCUUAUUAAAGGGAAAAUAUUGCAGAGUAAAAAUGUUGUCACCAGUGAGUUACUUUUAUCUCCAACUCCUUGUCAUGUGGAAGUAGUUCUCUGACAGUAAAAACAUGGUUUGGUUUGUAGUGUAGAUAGGUUUGAACCACAUUUUUAACUCUCCAUAGGGCAGGUGCAGAUGCUAGUGAGCUGUAAGAAUCACCAAGAAUCUGUCCGAAACUAACUGGCCUUGGAGAGAGUGCUGAGGAUCCAUUAGGAAUGGCUUCUGUUUUGGAGGGGGUUGUGGAAGUGCAGAGAAUAUGUAUAUGACUGCAGUUUAAUUGCUAGUGGGGGAGUCCCUACUUGUGUUAACCAUGUCACAGUGCUGUGGUCCAAGUCUACACUGAUAGCACUGUUCAGGGACAUUUAAAAUGUGGGUCAGACCUACCUAUACUGCAAGACCAAACCACGUUUUUAUUGUCAGAAAAUUACUGCACUGAGAGCCUCCUAAUGGCACUAUUAAGAGCCCCUCAGUCCAGUAGGAUACACAGUGUGGAUGGAUCUUUAGAGAAUCUGUACUAUAAUGAGUAGAACCUGAACUCCUUGGACACAAUCUCCUUCCCACAAUGCAUCCAAAGCCUGAGACCCAUUGAGUCAAAUGGGAAUUGUCCCUUGGUCCAUUGACUAUAGCUGCAAUAUGGCACCAGACCCUUGUUAAACCUACCAAGAUUUGCUGUACUUUGUUGUGUGUGAGAAAAUCUCUCCCUCCAUAGCAGCCAUUUACUGGUCCAAACUCUGCAGUUGCAGACAAGGUUGUUUAUACACAUAAUAGUGUAGCACUGCAGAGCUUCCAGGAGAAAAACCCAGAUUAGCAGUACAUGAAGAUGGUAGAUGUUCCCCCUUAUUUACCAUGUGAUUUUUUUUCAUGACUGUAGCCAAGUAGUUCCUGAGCCAGAAGUGAAUGAGAGCUGCUGAGUUCUUAGCACUUUUUAAAAUCAGCUGCUUAUAGAAUCAUAGGAAUGGAAAGGACCUCAAGAGGUCAUCUAGUCCAGUCCCCUGCACUCAUGGCAGGACUAAGUAUUAUCCAGACCAUCCCUGACAGGUGUUUGUCUAACCUGCUCUUAAAAAUCUCCAAUGAUGGAGAUUCCACAACCUCCGUAGGCAAUUUAUUCCAAUGCUUAACUUGACAGGAGGUUUUUCCUAUUGUCCAAGCUAAACCUCCCUGUCCCUGUUAUUUGUUGCCCUAUCCUCAGAUGUUAAGGAGAAUACAUUUCCCUCCCUCCCCCUUGUAACAACCUUUUCUGUACUGGAAAACUGUUACCAUGUCCCCGCUCAGUCUUCUCUUUUCCAGACUAAACAAACCCAAUUUCUUCAAUCUUCCCUCAUAGGUCGUGUUUUCUAGAUCUUAAAUCAUUUUUGUUGCUCUUCUCAGGACUUUCUCCAAUUUGUCCACAUUUUACUUGAAAUGUGGUGCCCAGAAUUGGACACAAUACUCCAGUUGAGGCCUAAUCAGCGCAGAGUAGAGCGGAAGAAUUACUUCUUGUGUCUUGCUUACAAGACUCCUGCUAAUACAUCCCAAAAUUAUGUUUGCUUUUUUUGAAACAGUGUUACACCGCUGACUCAUAUUUAGCUUGUAUCAACUAUUGACCCCCAGAUCCCUUUCUGCAGUACUCCUUCCUAGGCAGUCAUACAACUGAUUGUUCCUUCCUAAGUGGAGUACUUUGCAUUUGUCCUUAUUGAAUUUUAUCCUAUUUACUUCAGAUCAUUUUGAAUUUUAAUCCUCUUCUCCAAAUGGGAGUCUUGUCAUUGACUUAAUGGGCUUUGGAUCUGCUCGAAGUUCACAACUCAAAGAAAACUUUAAACGUGAAAUUGGGUUUCUGGGCUACAUUUUAAAGUGUGGUGGGCCGUAUAAGCACGUUUGCUUAUAUACACAACCAGUCCAUUCAAAACAGUGAAGCAGAUGCACAUUUUGAUAGAAACAAAUAUUUAUUGGAGAAUUCGUGCACUUUGGAUAAAACAGCAGGAGGAAAUCAUAUGUGCUACGCAAAGGUGUCCUAUUGUAUGGUCCGCCAGGCUGUGAGUACAAGUAUGAUAUACGUUAAAGGCAACUGCACCAGGUGGCUGUAGUAACAUAGAAACACACAUGCAUGCUCUCAAAUCAGGAACGUCAUGAUCUGGUAUGGAUUAGAUGUAGCCAUGUGGCACCAAAAAUAAAUUGGCAGUUGCUGUGCAGAAUAAGAAUCGAGCUUAUUGCUUUCGACUUUUUAUGUUGUGUGUGAAAGCCAGGAAAUGUCGUGAAUGGUGCUCAUCCCACAGAAGCAGAACAGCAGGAGCUGUGGACUCAUACACAAUUAUUUUUUAAAUUAUUGGUUCCUUUAGGGUAGAAAAGGUUGUGAUUCUUAUGUGUCCAUUUCUGUUUGCUCUGAAGUUGCUUAACCUCUGGCUGUGUUUAACCAAAUAACAGCUGCAGAGCGUUGGAGGGACUGUACGUCCAGGCGAUAAGCAUGUGCCGCACUGCUGAGCAUUAGCAGUUGCCUACUGAAGUUCCACUAACUCCAGGGGAACGUUAAAGGGUAACCACAGAAUAGAAGAGGACCAGCGGCAAUCAGGCUUAAAGGAUGAAGCUGGAGAAAUAUCCACAAACUAUCUGGAUUAGUGAAACAAGACUUUGCUUUUGGAACUGUACAAAAUUUACACUGCAAUGGGCGGCUGUGGUGGACCGGGGAGGAGGGAGCGUCAAGCUGUGGAAAAGAGCCUGGGGAGCCAUACUACGGUAGAAACUGCAUUUAAAAAAGAAAAAAAUACAAGCAGCUUCCGUGCUACAGGAUCCACGAUGCUAUGUUUGUUCUGGGUCUCUCUUCCGCUGUCAGAGCAGGUGUCUGUGGGCGUGAGCCUUCGGGGGCAAGGCCUGAGGCGCGCUGAGAGCUCAUGAUCUCAGGCGAGGCUCGCUGCAGGAAGCUAGCUCAUUCACCAGCGACUAGCACAGAGGGUGGCCAAUGUGGAGGUGCUGCCAGACAGCCUGGCAACGAGGUUGCUGAGCUCUGUUUUUCCCUCAGUCGCUGUGUCAGUGCAGUUGGAGCUACUCCUGCAGAGGUAACCAACCAGCAAAUCCGAGCGAGAGGGAGCACGCGCAGCCGAGGUGCUUUUCAUUUAGCUUUCAGCAUGCCCAGAGCCCUUCGACAGCAGGCAGUCAACCACAGCCCAUUUCUGCCUCACUCAAUUUUUCAGCCCUCCAGUUCCAGCUUUUAAAGUGCAAUGUUUAAACAUGAGCAUCUCCCUCCCCCCCCACCCGCCUCCACAGACUAGCGAUGCCAGAGCGAUGAGUUCUAGGCUGCUCCAGGUAGAGGAUACCAGCAGGCAUCCGUUUGCCUGGUGGAGAGCAAAGAACUGUGGACGAUGGGAUGCCCUACAUUAGACCAGCAUACCCCGGAAUGCUCUUUCUGAGGACCUGGCUCUUCAGGGGCCACUAAGGGGGGGAGACAGAUUACUGUGUGCUUAGUUAAUGCAGUUUCUGGUUGAGGGCUGGGGUCAUUUAUACCAGGCUUUAAUCCUUCCUACAGGCCCCAGCCAAAUUCCAGUGACUGGAGCCUGGAGGAAGAAGUUCUGGUGCACAGGGAGUUCUCUGGGAUACAUUUGCUGGUGACCUUAUGGUGUAAAUUGCAGGGGCAGCUGGCCACAAGGCAAUUGAGUGGCUCAGGGUGGAAGCUACACUCAUCUGGCACUCUGUGGGUGCACUCUACAAGGGGCCGCACCUGCUAAUAGGGGGUGCCUGGAUCAGAGCUUUGGUGCCUAAAACAAAGGUAGGGUCAGAUUUCUAAAAGCACCUUAGGAGCACAGGGUCUACUGAAAGGCAGAGGGAUCUGUGCUUCACCGAACCUUGGGCUUUUUGAAAAUCCACCCAUAGAUCUUUAUGGAAAAGUCCUACAGGAUUUAAUAGAACAUGACACCCUUUGGCCAUAGUAGGGUUUGAACCAUCCUUUAGAACUUGUACACCUGCACUAAAAGCUACAGGAGGGUUUAAAAAAUAUCAGCUAUCAAGAGGGUCUCAUUCUUGAUUAGAGUCUACAGCAUCUUAGCAUCAUUUCUAUUAAGCCCUGGAGGAAAGAGGAAGCAUCAGAAAAUCGACUAAGCAGAGAGCGUCAGGGUACGGGUACACCACAACUAAAAGUGUAAUUGACACAAAGGGACCUUUCAUCUAGCUGGUUUGGGGAACACUGAUAGUGAGAACAUGGCAAAGCGGGCUCUGGCCUGGGGUAGCUGUCCCAGUGCAAGCCCACCAGGGACCUUGGGUACAUACCUGGGUUGCCAGCCCAUCCCAGGGUCCAUGCCACUGGGUCUUUACUGCUCUUGUUACCCACACUAACUGGAUGAAAACUAGCCUUGGUUAUCUCCCUUCUGAUGUCAGUGUAGCGCACACAAACACAUUAAUGUCGCACUAACCCCACCGUGCCUAGGCUCAAACGUAGCCCUUCCCUAAGUACGCACAGCUGUGAUUGACUUCAGGGGCUGUUGUAUCCCCAGCUGAAUUUGACCCACAAAGAGUACCAAAAUGGCAUAGCAUGCUCGCCUUUCUGACACACUCACCCCUACACAUAGCUUCCAGCACCAUUUGCAUCACUACCGAAGUCAGGCCAUGGUUACAGCCAUAUGCAAUUCAAGGCUAUGUAGGCAGGAUGAGAUUUUUCAAAGCCAUUUAGAGGGAGAAGGCACCAUGUACCAUUAAUAGAGGGUGGUUAAAUUCACUAGACAGAGCUGAACAUCUCAGCCACGUUAUUUCCUUAUACUUCAAUGUUCCGAGAUGGAGCUGCUACAUGCGUGAAGCUUCUCAACUCCCUGUUGUACGCUGGCAUUGUUCACUACUUGUAUACAGUUCUCUGUUUGCACGUUUUAUUGCUUGUAAUACAAUUAAAGUAAAAUGUCUUUCCUUU